AUUGAACGCUGGCGGCAUGCUUUACACAUGCAAGUCGAACGGCAGCGCGGGCUUCGGCCUGGCGGCGAGUGGCGAACGGGUGAGUAAUACAUCGGAACGUGCCCAGUAGUGGGGGAUAGCUCGGCGAAAGCCGGAUUAAUACCGCAUACGACCUGAGGGUGAAAGCGGGGGAUCUUCGGACCUCGCGCUAUUGGGGCGGCCGAUGGCAGAUUAGCUAGUUGGUGGGGUAAAGGCCUACCAAGGCGACGAUCUGUAGCUGGUCUGAGAGGACGACCAGCCACACUGGGACUGAGACACGGCCCAGACUCCUACGGGAGGCAGCAGUGGGGAAUUUUGGACACAGGGCGAAAGCCUGAUCCAGCAAUGCCGCGUGUGUGAUGAAGGCCUUCGGGUUGUAAAGCACUUUUGGCGGGAACGAAAAGGACUGUGCCAAUACCACGGUUCGAUGACGGUACCCGCAGAAUAAGCACCGGCUAACUACGUG
rnacentral:rRNA from 1 species